AUGACCACUUUGUUGUUCUCAGUGUGUGAUGUUGUUGUUGUUGUUGUUGUUUUGGUCAUGUGUAGGUGCUACAUCACUCUGACCCAGUCUCUCCACCUGACUAAGAGUGGGACCACCAAGGACCACUACAACACACCAAUCCACUAUUACAACACUCCAAUCCACUAUUACAAAACUCCAAUCCACUAUUACAACACUCCAAUCCACUAUUACAACACUCCAAUCCACUAUUACAACACUCCAAUCCACUAUUACAACACUCCAAUCCACUAUUACAACACUCCAAUCCACUAUUACAACACUCCAAUCCACUAUUACAACACUCCAAUCCACUAUUACAACACUCCAAUCCACUAUUACAACACUCCAAUCCACUACUACAACACACCAAUCCACUAUUACAACACUCCAAUCCACUAUUACAACACUCCAAUCCACUAUUACAACACUCCAAUCCACUAUUACAACACUCCAAUCCACUAUUACAACACUCCAAUCCACUAUUACAACACUCCAAUCCACUAUUACAACACUCCAAUCCACUAUUACAACACUCCAAUCCACUAUUACAACACUCCAAUCCACUAUUACAACACACCAAUCCACUAUUACAACACACCAAUCCACUAUUACAACACACCAAUCCACUAUUACAACACUCCAAUCCACUAUUACAACACACCAAUCCACUAUUACAACACACCAAUCCACUAUUACAACACACCAAUCCACUAUUACAACACUCCAAUCCACUAUUACAACACUCCAAUCCACCACUACAACACACCAAUCCACUAUUACAACACACCAAUCCACCACUACAACACACCAAUCCACUAUUACAACACACCAAUCCACCACUACAACACACCAAUCCACUAUUACAACACACCAAUCCACUAUUACAACACACCAAUCCACUAUUACAACACUCCAAUCCACUAUUACAACACACCAAUCCACUAUUACAGCACACCAAUCCACUAUUACAACACACCAAUCCACUACUGCAACACACCAAUCCACUACUGCAACACACCAAUCCACCACUACAACACACCAAUCCACUAUUACAGCACACCAAUCCACUAUUACAGCACACCAAUCCACUACUGCAACACACCAAUCCACCACUACAAUACACCAAUCCACUAUUACAACACACCAAUCCACCACUACAAUACACCAAUCCACUAUUACAAUACACCAAUCCACUAUUACAAUACACCAAUCCACUAUUACAACACACCAAUCCACUAUUACAACACACCAAUCCACUAUUACAACACACCAAUCCACUAG
rnacentral:lncRNA from 1 species